UACGCAGGUGGCGAGCGUUGCCCGGAAUCACUGGGCGUAAAGGGGGCGUAGGUGGCCGUGUAAGUCCGGUGUGAAAAGCCACGGCUCAACCGUGGACCUGCGCUGGAAACUACAUGGCUUGAGGACGGUAGAGGGAGACGGAACUGCUGGUGUAGGGGUGAAAUCCGUAGAUAUCAGCAGGAACGCCGGUGGAGAAGUCGGUCUCCUGGGCCGUUCCUGACGCUGAGGCCCGAAAGCUAGGGGAGCAAACCGG
rnacentral:rRNA from 1 species